ensembl:lncRNA
CGGAAUUUGAAGUGACUCAUUGGAUCUUGAAGGAUUACUGCAGUGUUUUGCAAACUAGUGUCUAUUUGCCACGUCUGCACUCAGUGUGAGAUUUCCACAAACAAUAAUGUAAAUUUCUUUGUACUAAGAAAAAGAGCCAAGUUGGUUAUAAUGGAAGUCUAAGGGCAGUUGGUGAAUUCCGCUAAUUAACUUGAAUUCCGACUCAUUUACAGCCGUUAUACUAACAAUAAAGGUAAAAGUAAUUCUAAACUUUUUUGCCUAUAGUUCGGAGGUAUCCGUGUGCCGUCAGCCUGAAGCUCAGGUACGUCCCUGUUUGCAGUCCCCUCUGAAACUAUUGGAACGUCAUUUGUUCGUGCUCUACACGAGACAUUCGGGUUUGAGAUCAAAAGGCGGAUUUCAGCUUUUAUUUCCUGGUCUUUACAUCUAGACGUGUUAAACAGCUUAAAACAUAGAACCCUUUUGUAUCGGUCCACCCAAUUUGUAGGUGAGCAAAAAUAUAGGAACCGAUCAGUUUUGAAGUAAAUUAAAGUACUGUCGUGAUCAUAAAUUCACAAACCAUUUUGGGAGAAUCUGCAAAAUGUUAAUAAUUGAAAAAUAAGAGGAAACAUGAAAAUUGCAGUUGGUUUUUUUUAUUUAGUUCUACCCUGAAUAAGCUGUUUCACAUAACAGAAAUUUACAUAUACUCCACGAGACAUAAUAACUGACUGAAUUUACACAAAUGAACCAGUUCAAAAGUUUACACACACUUGAUUAUUAAUCCCGUGUGUCGUUACCUGGAUGAUCAGCGACUGUGUUUAUGUUCUGUGAGAGUUGUUCACGAGUCCCUUGUUUGUCCUGAGCAGUUAAACUGCCCGCUGUUCUUCAGAAAAAUCCUCCAGGUCCUGCACGUUCUUUACUUUUCCAGCAAAUUCAGUUAUUAUUGUGUCUUGUGAACUAUAUGUAAACAUCUGUUAUGUGAAAUAGCUUCUUCAGGACAGAACUAAAUAAAAAAAAAAAAACAAUUAAAUGUAGUUUUUAUGAUCCCUCUUACUUUUUUAUUUAUUAACAUUUUGUAAACUUAUGACCUCAACUGUAUCAUGGGGGGUAAGCCAAGGGUCAUCAAACUAAAUAUUGGCUUUGUUUCAUUUAUUACUGUUUGUUUAUUAUAUUUUUGCACAUUAUAGUAUUUUUUCAAAUGUAGAAGCAUUUAAUUUCUUUAUUUUUGAAGGCAUCUUUGCUGUACAGCGUUUCUCUGCACAUGCCCAAGGCUUUUGAACAGUACUGUAUGUGAAAUCCUCACAUGCCCCUUCAUUGAUCUAAGCCGAACAUCAAAUGUGUCCUGUAAAGGCCCGAUUCUGAACAUCACACUGAUAUAAUGAUUGCAUUAUGACUUGGAUGUUAAAAUCAAAAGGAAGAAAUUCUGGACUCUAUCUUCCCUGGCAAAUUACACUUUCCAAAAGCAGUUUUACUGCUCAGUAACAGCUGAAAUUAAAUUGAGUGCAUAUAAAUGUAGUUUCAGUUCUAGGUAAAUUACACUAUAGCUUUACUGCUAAUGUCGGCCAACGCUCAUGCCACUCUCGGAAUGUCUCACUGUGAGGAAAUGCCUCUAAUUAAACAUAAUACUCGCGAGUUCACCACAGUCGUUUAUUUCAGCUUGCACUCGGGUUAGAACAGCCGCC